rnacentral:lncRNA from 1 species
AAAAUAGAGAGGGGGAAAAAAGCAGAAAGAAGCUGAAUCUUAAACCUAUGACCAUUAAUCCAUUCUUAAAAAUGAGAAAUGACUUCUAAACUCCAUUGACCAAUGUUUUAUCUAGUGGGCUUGGCUGCUAAAAUAAUUUCUCUUCCUCUUUGGAGUUUUAGGUGAUUGUCUCCUGGGCUUGCCUCUCACGCAGGCUGGUCUGUAACUACUCUGUCCUCUGAGUGCACAGAACUGCUUCUAGAAGCCUGUCAGAUGACCAUGGCAGGAUGUUACAUUUGUGCACUUGGAUCAAAGGUGGUGAGGAGCAAUGCCAAGAACAAAGAGUUAAAGGAAGAAAAAUGUCCUUGUUAAGAACACAUUAGUACUGCUAAUCUCUCAUCUGCUAUCACCUUCAGGCCCAGAUACACUGUUACUA